UCUCCUCCGCCACCUCCUCCAUCACCCCCGCCACCAGUAUACUCUCCUCCCCCACCUCCACCGUCACCCCCCGCACCAGUUUACUGUCCUCCACCACCUCCAACCUAUUGUGUACGAUCACCACCACCUCCUCCACCUCCAACUGCAUCCCCGCCUCCGCCGCCCUUGUUUUCUCCACCACCACCUGUUCCAUAUUACUACAACUCACCUCCUCCGCCUCAUUCACCGCCCCCAUAUUACUAUAACUCACCGCCUCCACCACACUCUCCACCACCACCUCCACCUCACUCACCGCCUCCACCACCUCCAUCUUAUAUCUACUCAUCACCACCACCACCACCACCUGUAGCCCAUUCUCCACCUCCCCCAGUCCAUUCUCCGCCUCCCCCAGUCCAUUCUCCACCACCACCACCACCAUCACCACCUCCUCCACCUCCUUGUAUAGAACUACCUCCACCUCCCUGUAUAGAACCGCCACCACCACCAUCCCCAACCCCAUCACCUCCACCACCACCGCAUAAAUCACCUCCACCACCAGCACCUGUUUACAGUUCUCCACCACCCCCAGUCCACCACCCGUCCCCACCUCCACCACCGAUUAUAUACAACAGCCCACCACCUCCUGCUCCAGCAUACGAGGGGCCAUUACCUCCGGUGAUCGGCGUUUCUUACGCCUCUCCUCCACCACCACCCUUCUAUUGAUUCUUUGAUGUAUUCUGAAAACUCAAAACACCAACAACAACAAUAAUACACAACAAUUGGCAUCAUCUAUUCCUUGAGCUUUUCCGAAUUGAUGACAGAAAACAGAUAGAGAAAGAGAGAGAGAGAGAGAGAGAGAGAGCUGAAAAAAAAUAAAACAAAUUUUAUUUUAGGUUGCAGAAGCAGAUCAAAGCAUAUCAUAUCAUAUCCUCAUCCUCAUGUAUAGAGAAACAUCCAUUGGCAUUCUUUCUCCUUCUGAUUCUGCCUGUGGGUUUCUAAUUUUAUUAUUUUAUUUAAAUUUCAUACUUUUUCUUCUUUUUAUAAAUGAAAAACAUUUUUAUUAUCCAUUUUCUCUUCUUGUUUGUGUUUGUUUGUAUAGCUAUGUAUGCUGAAGUUUUGUGCCCUUGACUUCCUUCUUAACCAAAAUUAAUUGGUAUGUUUGUUUGUUUGUGGAUCAUGUCUUAAUGCAUAAACGAAAUUUAUGAAGACGAGACA
rnacentral:lncRNA from 1 species